UGGGGAAUAUUGGACAAUGGGGGGAACCCUGACCCAGCCAUGCCGCGUGUGUGAAGAAGGCCUUAUGGUUGUAAAGCACUUUAAGCGAGGAGUAGGGUACUGGUAUUAAUACUACCAGCUACUGGACGUUACUCGCAGAAUAAGCACCGGCUAACUCUGUGCCAGCAGCCGCGGUAAUACAGAGGGUGCGAGCGUUAAUCGGAUUUACUGGGCGUAAAGCGUGCGUAGGUGGCUAAUUGAGUCGGAUGUGAAAUCCCCGAGCUUAACUUGGGAAUUGCAUUCGAUACUGGUUAGCUAGAGUGUGGGAGAGGAUGGUAGAAUUCCAGGUGUAGCGGUGAAAUGCGUAGAGAUCUGGAGGAAUACCGAUGGCGAAGGCAGCCAUCUGGCCUAACACUGACGCUGAGGUACGAAAGCAUGGGGAGCAAACAGG
rnacentral:rRNA from 1 species